rnacentral:rRNA from 1 species
AAUAUUGGACAAUGGGGGCAACCCUGAUCCAGCCAUGCCGUGUGUGUGAAGAAGGUCUUCGGCUUGUAAAGCACUUCAAGGUGGGAGGUAGGGAUUUAGGUUAAUACCCAGAAGUUUUGUCGUUACCAACAGAAGAAGCACCGGCUAACUCUGUGCCAGCAGCCGCGGUAAUACAGCUGGUGCAAGCGUUAAUCGGAAUUCGUGGGCGUAAAGCGCGCGUAGGUGGUUCAGUAAGAUGGGUGUGAAAUCCCCGGGCUUAACCUGGGAACUGCUUUCAUAACUGCGGAGCUAGAGUACGGUAGAGGGUAGUGGAAUUUCCUGUGUAGCGGUGAAAUGCGUAGAUAUAGGAAGGAACACCAGUGGCGAAGGCGACUACCUGGACUGAUACUGACACUGAGGUGCGAAAGCGUGGGGAGCAAA